rnacentral:rRNA from 1 species
UGGGGAAUAUUGGACAAUGGGCGCAAGCCUGAUCCAGCAAUGCCGCGUGAGUGACGAAGGCCCUAGGGUUGUAAAGCACUGUGGGAGGGGAAAAAAACACGGGGGUUGUACCCCGUCUUGACGGUACCCUGUUAGAAAGCACCGGCUAACUCCGUGCCAGCAGCCGCGGUAAUACGGAGGGUGCAAGCGUUGUUCGGAAUUAUUGGGCGUAAAGGGCGUGUAGGUGGCUGUCCAAGUCUGGUGUGAAAGCCCACGGCUCAACCGUGGAACUGCAUUGGAAACUGGAUAGCUCGAGUAUUGGAGGGGGUCGCGGAAUUCCCGGUGUAGAGGUGAAAUUCGUAGAUAUCGGGAGGAACACCAGUGGCGAAGGCGGCGACCUGGCCAAUUACUGACACUGAGACGCGAAAGCGUGGGGAGCAAA